GGUCGCUUAACUCAGUUGGUUAGAGUGUGGUGCUAAUAGUCAUACAACGACUGUGAUACGCCAAAGUCGCGAGUUCGACCCUCGUAGUGACCA